rnacentral:piRNA from 1 species
ACGGGCCAGAAAGCCAAGCUGGGUUUUGC